AUGAGCAUUUCUAGUGACUCUUAAUCAGAAGGAAAUGGCUUUGUGACAUGUGUGCUUUCUGUAAAGGGGACUGGCUUUAUUAUCUUGGAGGAGUGGAGAAAGGAGGCAUGGUGUUGUGGGAUAUGAAUAAAGUCAAGCACGUCAGGAAGCUGGAAAUGAGCCACUGAAACCAAGGACAGUCAACGUUGUUUGAAUCUGUGCCUUUUCUUCCUGCCUCCCCUUCCUGUGACUGACAGAGCCCGAGUCUCUGCCGGCUCCCAGUCAGGAGCCCGUAGCUUUGCAGCUACGUGACCUCUACUAGGCUACAAGAUGGGAAAAUGGCCAUUGUAAUUAGUACAAGAUGAAUGGUUGCAAAAGACAAGCAGUAUUCCUUCUACAAAGUAGGGGUCUGGGGUUGCUGAUGUAGCCAAGACUGGUUUUCC
rnacentral:lncRNA from 1 species